AUUGAACGCUGGCGGGAGGCUUUACACAUGCAAGUCGAUCGAGCGGCGGACGGGUGAGUAAUAUAUGGGGACGUGCCCGCUAGCGGGGGAUAACUCCUGGAAACGGUGGCUAAUACCGCAUACUAUUGGAUCGACCGAUAUGGGAUUAGCUAGUAGGUGGGGUAAAGGCUCACCAAGGCGACGAUCUGUAGCUGGUCUGAGAGGAGGACCAGCCACCCUGGGACUGAGACACGGCCCAGACUCCUACGGGAGGCAGCAGUGGGGAAUAUUGCACAAUGGGGGCAAGCCUGAUGCAGCCAUGCCGCGUGUAUGAAGAAGGCCUUAGGGUUGUAAAGUACUUUCAGCGGGGAGGCGGUAUCCGCAGAAGAAGCACCGGCUAACUCCGUGCCAGCAGCCGCGGUAAUUC
rnacentral:rRNA from 1 species